UACGGGGGGGGCAAGCGUUGUUCGGAAUUACUGGGCGUAAAGGGCGCGUAGGCGGCCCUCUAAGUCGAACGUGAAAUCCCCGGGCUCAACCCGGGAACUGCGUGUGAUACUGGAUGGCUUGGAUUUGGGAGAGGGAUGCGGAAUUCCAGGUGUAGCGGUGAAAUGCGUAGAUAUCUGGAGGAGCACCGGUGGCGAAGGCGGCAUCCUGGACCAAUAUUGACGCUGAGGAGCGAAAGCUAGGGGAGCAAACGGG
rnacentral:rRNA from 1 species